rnacentral:rRNA from 1 species
UGGAGGCAGCAGUGAGGAAUAUUGGACAAUGGGGGCAACCCUGAUCCAGCCAUGCCGCGUGAGUGAAGAAGGCCUUCGGGUUGUAAAGCUCUUUCGGCGGGGACGAUGAUGACGGUACCCGCAUAAGAAGCCCCGGCAAACUUCGUGCCAGCAGCCGCGGUAAUACGAAGGGGGCUAGCGUUGUUCGGAAUUACUGGGCGUAAAGCGCGCGUAGGCGGUGAUCUUUGUCAGAGGUGAAAGCCUGGGGCUCAACUCCAGAAUUGCCUUUGAAACGGGAUUGCUAGAGUCCGAGAGAGGAUGGCGGAAUUCCUAGUGUAGAGGUGAAAUUCGUAGAUAUUAGGAAGAACACCGGUGGCGAAGGCGGCCAUCUGGCUCGGUACUGACGCUCAGGCGCGAAAGCGUGGGGAGCAAACAGGAUUAGAUACCCUGGUAGU